rnacentral:rRNA from 1 species
AGAAUCAACGCUGGCGGCGUGCCUAACACAUGCAAGUCGAACGAGAAAGUGGAGCAAUCCAUGAGUAAAGUGGCGCACGGGUGAGUAACACGUGACUAACCUACCCUUGAGUGGGGAAUAACUUCGGGAAACCGAGGCUAAUACCGCAUAAACACCUACGGGUCAAAGGAGCAAUUCGCUUAAGGAGGGGUCGCGGCAGAUUAGUUAGUUGGCGGGGUAAUGGCCCACCAAGACGGUGAUCUGUA